GAGAGCUACGUUCUCCUUGCACUUCACCUCUCGCUGAAAGCACCCCGCCCCCUUCGCAACAUUCUCAAACCCCCGCUGCGUGCGACGGUGCUGCAUCUCUGGCCUCCAUCUUACUGCGCUUCUCCCGUAUCUUGCGACUCGCGACGAUCGUCACCCUUGCCCUUUGCUUUGCGUGGUGGCGCCCAUCCCGUUCAUUAGUGAACUCUUGGUUGCGGCUGCGCACAGAGACGAUGGAGGGGUCGAAAAAGUACGAGGAGGCCUCCCUGCGGGGCAUCACGCGCCAUCACGUGUGGAAGAGCAGAACCAGCGAUCUCACCGUAAUCAACCUCCGAGACCCGACUGAGCUGCUGGGGAUUCAGGACCCGCUGGCGGUAGCCGCGGUAGCUGAAACGAGGCAGGCAACAGCCGCCUCCCCGCCGCCGCCGCUGCGGCCGCCACUGGCGCGACCGGUGACCGGGAAGCAGGAGAGCCUCAAUGCCCUUUUGGCAAAACUGCAACUGUGCCGACCGGCGCAAGAGCCUUCGUCGCAUCCGUCAGCAGCUGCCAAGCCGCUGCCGCAGUCGUCGGCCAACGCCGCGCCUCCCGCUGCGCCCAGUGCGGCAGCGCCUUCAGCGCUGCAUCCGACGGCCCGCGUCACCUCGACGGCAGCCGCGGCGUCUCCUGCCAUUGUGAUGCCGGAGGUGAGCGACCCCUCGUUUCCUGACCCGAAGGAGUCGUCAUCCGGGCCGUCUGGCCAGUUUGAGUUUAUCACAGGCACAAACAUUCCUGGUCAAGGAGUUGUGAAGAAGACCGAGGCCGUUGAUGAGUCAUCCAGCAUGGCCCUCUUCCACGACCCGCUCUGGGGAGGUUCUCUGGACGCGUUUGCGUUGCCGCCAACCUCGAAGCCAUCCCCUAAGCCCCAGCUUCGCGCCUCUCUGUCGGAGCUGUACGCUAGCGCUGCCUCCAACAACACCAGCGCGUUCGCAUCUCCGCCGGCGCCGGCGUCACAGCCUCAGAAAGUGGCCUCUCCUCCCGUCGCCACGGUGACGGCGAGCGCAGUGCCUACUGCGAUGGCGUCUUCGACGAUGCCGAUGAUGAGCGGGAUCGUCCAGCCGCCCACUCCGCCGCAACUGAACACGCCUUUUCCAAUGUACACGGUGCCCAUUCAGUACAUGGCUCAGCAACCGCAGUUUCCAGCCGGGAUGGUGUACAACGCACCGAACUUCUUUCCCUACGGUGCGGCUCCGAUGAUGAUGGCGCAACCGCAGCACAUUCCGCAGGGUUAUGCGAUUCCCGCCGCCGCCAUGAUGAGACCCGGUACAAAUGUUAAGGCGAUGCCAUUUGUUCCAGGAAACACAAUGUGAGAGCGGCGACGGCGGCCGUGUCUCACGGACGCCUAUCAACAUACCCACAUACUUCUUAGCGAACUCCGGCGAGGGCCGUCAGCGGCGCGCGGUUCGGUCACACGUACACUGCACAUGGAGUCAGAACGGGUCCGAUGCGACACCUGUCGCUUUCCUCGUGUUAACCCGUGCUCUCUCUCCCUUGUUGUGUGCUUUUGUCGUUUCUGUUUUCUCGCUUGAGUUUUUCUCCUCUUCUUCGCUUCUGUUCUUGUGUGUUCUCGGACCAAUCUUCAUUUUUUCUCUUUUUCUGCACAUAACUAUUGUUUCGUUUGUUUUUGUCCUCCCUUUGCCUUCUCCCUUCGC
rnacentral:misc_RNA from 1 species